rnacentral:tRNA from 1 species
GCCCUCGUAGCGCAAUUGGACAGAGCGUUUGCUUGCGGAGCAAAAGGNNAGAUUCGAAUUCUGCCGGGGGCA